AGACUGCUUUCUCAAGUGGCUUAGUGUCUCCACUCAGGGGUGGUGGAGCUCUUCUUCUCACUGCUUCUUCUCACUUUUUUCAUGCUCUGGCCUAAGGUCUUGGUGGUAUUAGCCUAGCACAACUUCAGUUGCACUGCAGGUUCCUCAUACAAUUGAAACACUGUUUCCAUAUUUUGAUUUUCUUCUGCUCUGCCAUGGGUUGUUCACAUUCUCUCAAGGUUGUUACUACUGUUUUACCUUUUUCUACUUGAUAAUUUUGGAAACCGGCUUGAUGGAGGCCCUACAGUGACUAUUCAUUGGCUAAGGCUUUGGAUUAUCUUGGGAGGACCCUGAAAGAAUGACCUGGCCGGAAGAUUGUCCCAUCCUGCAUGAGGAGGGAAGAAUGAGCCUCACUCUACACCCAGAAUGCCAACUACAUUUUCAUCCAGUCCUCAAAAAAUAUCAUGCGCACCCAGAUUCUCCUGGUCAGACCAACACUGUGGAAACCCACUGGAUGCAUUCAGAGGUGUCACUGAUAAUGAAGAAUGAGAUGCCGUCAUCCAUCUGCAGGAAGACGCUGCGUGUGCCAUAGAACCCAAAAGUCAUCUAUUGCAAGAGAGAAUCGAUUCUCCCAAGUAAACGGGGCCCUAUUAGUUUAAAAACUAAUGCAGCACAGAGAGAAAUCAGGUUCCUCAGACAAUGUUGAUUCUGCUUCCUUUUGAACCAUUAACAGCCUCACUUAAAGCCAUGUAUUGAAAGCUGCGACUUAUCGUUAACCACAGUUUCUAAUGCAUUAAACAAACGGCAAGGAUGACUGUAGGUCAUAGCCCUCUCCCUUCACACGUUAUAUGCAAAUGCUUCUCUACUGGAUAUUUAAAGGAGAAAAGUUACAUCUAAACUCACUCCAUAAUGUAUGCUUUCAGCGUGGGAUGCUAAGCAAGUUCUGAUUUUGCGAGCUCAGAGUCACGCUAAAUGCCGGGAAUACAGGUUUCUUCUUAGAAAGGGCGGGCGGCUUUGGCUUUGGCUAAUGUCCUGGGGGAUGUCUUCAAAAUGCAAAGUGUCUGUCUGACCAUGGCCAUGGCAGUCUCAAGUUCCUUUGCCAAGGAUUUUGGGGAAAUUCUUCCUCAGGAAACUCACAUAGCGGGAAGAGCAAGAGAGUCACAAAUAGUGCUUAAACCUGGGGUCUAUAUCUUUUAACUCUUCAAACAGACAACAGCAGUAAAAACAGCUCUGCUGCCAGUCUUCAGAGUCUUAACUGAGUUGGAGGCGAACUAUUGUGAAGUAUAAUGUAGUUAGUGACUCUGUGAAGUCAGUCCACAGAAAGCCAUUCUUUUUAAAUGGACCUACACAACAAUUGCCCCGCACACAAACUGCACAUGCAAUAUUCAAAGCCACUGCUAGGUGCGUUGCUGAGUGCAGAGAGCUGUGCUCCCAGAACCAUCAAGUCAACACGCCAGCUGCUCAGCAUUAUUUACAAUAUAUUGGCUUCACCACUGACCUAAAGAGCUGAAGAAAAUAACAGGCCAUAUUUUCAGCUUGGUAAAAGCCUGCAGUGGGGAGCCCUUUCACAACAAUUACAAGCAUUUGCUCGGAAUGCAUUUGCUGAUUUAACAAACUGGAGAGGACAAAUGUUUAACAUGCUGUCGUGAGGCUGUUCAGUCGCUUUUCUUGGUAUCCGUUGAUCUGAGAUAAUGUGUUCUUGCCCAAUCAUGCUACAAAGAAGCAGCGGAAAUAAAUAAAUAAAUAGAUGUAAUGCGAUGCGUUCCCACAAUAGCUGAGCUGCUGACGGCCCCUGACAGAUGG
ensembl:lincRNA Redrum Redrum, erythroid developmental long intergenic non-protein coding transcript